AAGUCAUAACAAGGUUUCCGUAGGUGAACCUGCGGAAGGAUCAUUACACGUAUCCAAACGUUAACCCCCCUGUGAACCUUUAGUGUGCUCGUACCUUUGUCAGAGCGUGGCAAUCCCUACUGGCUGCCUAAGGAUGGAGCAGUCACGAUCGUUGGAAGCCGACACGGCCGACGACCGGGUCACCGGGCUCACGCGCGCCUGCGCUUAAUUGUGCGGCGACCAUAAAACUCGAACAACUGUUAACAAUGGAUACCUUGGUUCUC
rnacentral:misc_RNA from 1 species